rnacentral:lncRNA from 1 species
UCUUGUCUUGCUUCUAUCUUGUAAUCUGUAGCUCUUUUGAGGUUGGUCCAAUGGAGUUAGUUGUACCCCUUGUGUUUCUCUAGCAUGCUGUAAAUUUUCAUGCCAGUUGGAGUCCUAUAGCUAUAGGUUUUGCUGCUGUCAAUAUUGCUUCAGAUCAAAAACUGCACUUUCGUGAGGUGUAAUUUUCACUAAGUCUGAAAUAGUGUGUGGGAAGCCAUUUUGUGACUUCUUUCCCUAGUGUUCCUUGCUGCCAGGCUAGUUGUUGUUAGCUGUUCGUAGUAGAGCUUCUUGCCCUCUUCCG